GUCCCAGUUCGGAUUGUAGUCUGCAACCCGGCUACAUGAAGCUGGAAUCGCUAGUAAUCGCAGAUCAGAAUGCUGCGGUGAAUACGUUCCCGGGUCUUGUACACACCGCCCGUCACACCAUGGGAGUCGGAAAUGCCCGAAGUCGGUGACCCAACCGUUUACGGAGGGAGCUGCCGAAGGCAGGUCUGGUGACUGGGGUGAAGUCGUAACAAGGUACC
rnacentral:rRNA from 1 species